GUCCCUUUGGGGACAUCCGAUAAAAUUGGUACUACACUGAGAAGAUUAGUAUGACUCUUGCGCAAAGAUGACACACACAAAACGAGAACGCUCUACGUUUUUU